GCCAGUGUGGCCUAGUGGUUUACGCAGUGGACUGUGACUCUAGAGACCAGGAUUUGAAUCCCAGCUUGGCCA